GACGAACGCUGGCGGCGUGCCUAACACAUGCAAGUCGAACGGAGAUUCAGCAAUGGAUCUUAGUGGCGAACGGGUGAGUAACACGUAGACAACCUGCCUUUUAGAUGGGGACAACAUCCCGAAAGGGUUGCUAAUACCGAAUGAGAUCUUUCUCUCGCAUGGGAGAAAGAAGAAAGGUGGCCUCUAUUUAUAAGCUGCCGCUAAAAGAUGGGUCUGCGUCUGGUUAGCUAGUUGGUGAGGUAAGGGCUCACCAAGGCGACGAUCAGUAGCCGGUCUGAGAGGAUGAACGGCCACACUGGGACUGAGACACGGCCCAGACUCCUACGGGAGGCAGCAGUGGGGAAUCUUCCACAAUGGACGAAAGUCUGAUGGAGCAACGCCGCGUGAGUGAAGAAGGCUUUCGGGUCGUAAAACUCUGUCUUCAGGGACGAAUGUACUUCUCGUGAAUAAUGAGAGGUAAUGACGGUACCUGAGGAGGAAGCCACGGCUAACUACGUGCCAGCAGCCGCAGUAA
rnacentral:rRNA from 1 species